rnacentral:tRNA from 1 species
AAGGACUUAAGUUAAAUAAACUAAUAGCCUUCAAAGUUAUAAAUAAAAGUAACUACUUUUAGGCCUUA